rnacentral:lncRNA from 1 species
AAAAUGGAUGGAAUUUGUCAAAUAUUUUGAAUCUAUUGAAAAUAAUAAUAUAUAUAUUCAAGGUAAAAUUGUUGAAAGUGAUCCUCUAAUUUCAAAUGUUUAUUAUCCUGAAGAAAUUUGGAAGAAUAGAUAUCAAACUACAUUUCUAAGAGAUUGGAAUAAAAAGUAUUUAUAAAUUUAAUUCCAAAUAAAUGGAAGUCAAAACUUGCAAAUGCUGCAAACAAACAAAACCAACUAAUGAUUUUUACAUUAAUCGUAUGAAAGGUAAAGUUUACAUUCGUAGCUAUUGUAAAAUCUGUCACAAAAAAAUGAAUUACAAAAAAGAGAUCUGUGAGUGUGGAAAAGAAUACACUAAAGCUCAUUAUCAAAGACAUUUAAGAAGUUCUUUACAUCAGCGCCGUUUGGAAAUCUGUUUAUAAAUUUAUUUCCUAAUAAAUGGAAGGAAAGUUAAAAUCGAAAACUGUCAAACAACUUCAUAAAUAUUGUAAGAGACAUGAUAUUGUUGGC